CUCCUGGACUGGGUGGUGCCAGCCACAGGCAGGGCAUCUGCUUUCUGGGCCCUCGCUCUGUCUCACCGGGGACACCCACAGGCACACCAGGAAUGAGGUCUCAUCCGGCAACACAGAUUUAACACACAUGCACAAAACGUGGGAUCGCCACUUGGCUAAAAGAUCUUGAAAGAAUAUCUCAGGGCCGUGCCUUACUGUGUGAGCUCCCGAAAUCAAGCCAAUAAUUUAACAUCAAUAAUACCUUAUGCUGUGAGGAUACAGAAAAACCAGGGUUCUCACCUAUUUCUGGCGGGAAAGCAACAUGGCAGAGCCACUCUCGAAAAGAACGUCGUGCCUGGCAAUCCUAAGCACUGCUGGAUGGAUGGAUGAACAAACGGGAAGAUGGACUGGGCCAGAUUCUCAGAGUGUUUAAGCAGGACACGAGCAUGCCUGUGCUUCUGCCCCGCAGACAUUUACCCGGGACUUCUGCCUAACGGUUGACUGCCAUGCCUACGUGUGGAAUUCGGUCCGUUGAUGUCUCCUAGAAACACUGCUGCUAGUGCUGCUGCUGCUGCUGCUGCUGCUGCUGCUGUGUGCUCUUCCUUCGGCUUCCAUGAGCUCCUUGACUGGCAGUGUCCCCAGGGCUCCAUUUGUCGCUUGGCUGCAGGCACUGGGUGCUGGUCUACAAGCUCCCUCUGGGCCCGGCGCCCUUUCUCACUGUGCAGCAGCAGAGGGCAUUGUCUAGGUACAGCUGCCAACGGUGGACUGCAGAAAGCGUAAUGCUGAGUCACUGCCCAUCAGCGAGCACUGUACGGGUUAAGGAGUAAUCUGGGAUGGGAGCGGCUGCCCAGAGGUGAACUGCGUCACUGCUUGUCAUUUCCACCCUACAAGAAGGAGUGUAUAGGGCUGGUCAGAAAAUAGGUGUGGGGCGGGGGAUUCAGCUCAGUGGUUCUGGUGCCUGCCUCCCAAGUGCAAGGCCCAGAGUUGAUCCCCAGUACCAAAAAGCAAAGCAAAACAAAUAUGGUGUGUUUCAAAUAAAAGAAAAAUUAUUGCAAUAAAAGACACAUUGGCAUCAAUCCCCCUCAGAAUCCUCCCCCUCACUUUGAACACACUUAUCCCAUUUUCUUGCCGCUUUCUGAAGCAGUUCUGGAGUCCUCUUUCAUGAGUGUCUUUACAAGGUGUAAUAAAAAAUAUGAGGAAUGCUGAUGCUGAGUGUCAUCCAACGGAAAACAUAAAAACACCACAGUGUGUUCUCAUCUACUUCAUUCACCACACCCAGCACUGUGGGACUUUUGGUUCUUCUCAAAAGUCAAAAUGACCAUGAAAGACGAACAGUUUGAUUCAAUUCAGGGCACUGAGGCAGACACAACAGUACAACUAGAAAAAUUCAUGAAAGAGGACUCGAAAACUGCUUCAGAAAGGAACAAGAAAAUGGAAUAAAUGUGUUUAAAGUAAGGGCAAGUGUGUUGAGAGGGAUUCAUAGCAAUGUAUCUUUUAUUAUAGUAAAUUUUUUAAAACUUAAAAAUUCAUAUUUUAAUGAUACUUCAAACAUCAUAUUAACUUUAUUCACUUCAUAGAUGUAUUACAUUGGGGUGCAGCUCUGUGGCAGAUCGCUUGCCGAACACAUACAAGAUAGCUCGAGAGUCAAUCCCCAACCCUGAAAAAAAUUACCUCAAAUGCUAAUGACAUUCGAUGGACUCCAAAACAUUUUUAAAUGAAAAAAUUGGAAGAGAUAAUUAAUAAGGAUUCGUCUAGCUUUUUGAUGAGCGUAUGAAGUCUUUGCAAGCUCUUACUGUUUCUCCAGGUGAGUCCUAUCUCCAUACAUGGUCACAAUUUCCUUCCCUGUCACCAGAAGGAACCGCACUCACCUGUGUGCCGUCAGAACAGCUCAAACAUCCAUCACACAGGCUGCCCGAGCCUGAGGGGAGCUGCUGCUUCAAGACGUUUGCUGUUCCUCAGCCUUGCUCAUGAUUUGCUAGGAGGUCGUCAUGCUGUCCUUCUGUGCUUCCCUCCGGUCCCAGACAGACCUGUUACUGGUCCACACUGCUCUGCACCCAUGGUCCCGUCUGCCCUGCUCUUCCCCUCCUUCGCCACCAUGCCCUUUUCUCGUCUCUCCUUGUCAAGCUCUUGCUCAGAUUCCCAAUUUCUAGGCUAGCGCUGACAUUCUCUGUCACCUUGUUUUUUGCUAUUCUUAUAUAGGAUUCUGUUUCUUUAUUAGUGCAUGUUGAUUACACCAAAUAAUGGGUGUCACCGCGGCAUAUUCAUGUGCACAUCCAUCCCCAUCAUACUUCAGUCAGGUCUGUCCCAGAGCCUUCUUCACCUCCCUCCAUCCCUUCCUCUCCUCUGUCUUCUUUCCAGAAGUCUGUGUUCUUUCACAUCAUCUCUUUUUUCUAUGCAUGAAAGAAAACAUGUGAUACUUGUCUUUCUGUAUCUAACUUACUUUACUCAACAUGUUGAUCUUCAGUUCUAUUUUUUUACAAAUGACAUAAUUUCAUUCCUCACUGUGACUGACUAAAGCUCCAUCGUGUAUGGAUUUCACUGUUUCUCCAGUCAUCUGUUGAAGGGGCAUCCAGGCUGGUUCCGUAACUUGGCGAUGUGACUUGUGCUGCAGCAAACAUGGAUGUGCAGGUAUCUCCACAGUAUGCUGACUUUAAUUCCUUUGAGUACAUACCUAGGAGGGAGGUAGUUGGAUCAUACUGUAGUUUUUUUUUUUUUUUUGGUUUUUAAUAUGAGUUCUAUAAAUACCUGAGUCCUGUGAUUUCCUUAUUUGCUUUGCAGUUCAUUUGCUUGGGAGGUGUGGGAAGAUUGUCUUAAAAAGGUGAAUUCCUCAUAUGACAGAGUCUGGCCACAGUGGGAUCUGAUCACACAAACGACCCAGGUGUUCUGAUGAAAGUUGCUGUCCACGCUUCAGGCAGUGUUUAGGAUUUAAAUGAAUGAGCUUCAGGGGAUCUGUGAACCUUCAGAAUUUUUUUACAUUCUAUAUCUUUAUGUCCAUUUGUAUUUUUCUAAGGGAAGGUUUCCUAACUUUCAACAGACUAUUAAAGGAGCCUGUGUCAGAAUUUUUUAAAAAGCAAUCUAUUAAACCAUUAAAUGAGGGUUUCAGAUAAAAGAAAACUUCUUUGUUAUUUGAGGACUAAAACAUAAAUUCAAUAUUGAGGUCUGAUACAUACAUUUUACUGUACAGGGUACUUUGAGACAUCACACACACAGAUCAUGCCUUUCAGAUUGGCUAAGGACACAUGCACACCUGGGCUGCUUUGUUUCAAGGUCUAGAGCCCCAAGGCCUAGCAUCAAAGAGGCGGCACGUGUCUAUCAUGUUGGAGGAAAGAGUGUGCCGAAUUCCAUCCGCGAUUUUCAUGAAAUCAGUAGCUAGAGGAUUAAGAGUCUUGUCUGCAGAUUCUGCCUGGAAAAGAGACAGCCCUGAAGUGUAAACAGUUUUGUGCACCAAGAUCAGUGUAGAGCCUGGUCUCUCAUUCAUCAUGUUCUGGCUCUGUAAUUCUAGACACGUCAUUAGUAUUCCUGGGCUUCUGACGAUGGACUUCUUAUAGCAAUAGUGAUCUUUCUGCCAGGACAUAGGAUCCUAUGAUAUCAUGAGGCUCCCCAGAAUAUAGGCAUGGAUGCAGGUAUACAUACACACAAACCUAUAUACGUAUAUAUGCACACAUACAUAAGAUAUGUAUAAGUGGUGAAGCCCAACCGACCUCCAUUGCUGCUUGACAAAGUUCCAGCUGGGGGAAAGAAAGCAGGGAACACAUCGUACCCUCAUGUUUUAUUUUUUUCUUGCCAUAAUGUUUAUAAUUGUUACUCUGGUCACGGGAGUCAUUGUGUUUGUGACUAACAACAAACUCUCCAUGAGGCAAAUUGGCAAUGAUAUAUUGAAAUCUGAUCUGGCUCAAAAGUCUCAAAUUCCAGUUUCUCUUAGUUCUAUUGCCACAUCCACUCCUAAAGAAACCUCUCCUAAAACCCCCUCUGUUUUCCCACUAUUAUAACUCCCUCUCUUACUGCUGACAUUCUUUUUACUAAAGGGGUCUUAUAAAGAGAUUGAAAGGACAGACUUUAGAUGUAAGAAAUAGUGGGAAAUGGGAAAUAAAAAGAACGUUAAAACAGGUAAAUGCAUUAAGGAGGCAAGUUACUCAAUAUUUCUCAAAGUGCUGUAAAUAUCUCCUGCUCAUGGACUAUGAACCCAAAUGACAUUUAGUUAAGAUGAAUAGAGGUAAAAAGAACAUAGAGAGCUAAUAGCAAACUGUAUUAACCAUUGUGCAGUUUCUCAAGGGCUAGCUGGUGACCACAAGUUUGACAUUUAAUUUGAUUGUUACUUUCUGUUCUGCUUAGGUAUGGGACAAUGAGGGAACAAUUGCAGUUUUUAAGAAAUGUAUUCAUGAUGUUCAAUGAAAUGAAUCAGCUUAGAAAAAAUAUACUGUUUAACAAAAAUAACCUGUACCUCAUCAGAUAUUGCUAAGGCAACAUGUUCCGCCCAAUGCCUCUUCGCUAUUGCUUAAAGAUAUAAAAAUAAAUCAGACCCUGAGACUUCUCAGAGGGAACCUGAACAUUGCUUGUAAAGGUUCUUUUCUCAUCGCUGGCCCAGGACAUCUCCCCUUCCUACCCUACAUCGACUGCAGCUG
ensembl:lncRNA